AAAGAACGAAUGAAUGAAUGAAAGAAAGAAAAGAAAAAGCUGACCUUUGAUUGUCUUUUGUUGUUGUUGCUUGCUUCUUUCUUCUCCUCUCUUU
rnacentral:ribozyme from 1 species